rnacentral:rRNA from 1 species
AGGGGGCAAGCGUUGCUCGGAAUCACUGGGCGUAAAGGGCGCGUAGGCGGGAUGGCAAGUCAGUCGUGAAAUCUCUCGGCUCAACCGAGAAACGUCGGCUGAUACUGCCGUUCUUGAGGGAUGCAGAGGAGACUGGAAUUCCCGGUGUAGCGGUGAGAUGUGUAGAGAUCGGGAGGAACACCGGUGGCGAAGGCGGGUCUCUGGGCAUUUCCUGACGCUGAGGCGCGAAAGCGUGGGGAGCAAACGGG